CCUACGGGUGGCAGCAGUGGGGAAUAUUGGACAAUGGGGGCAACCCUGAUCCAGCCAUGCCGCGUGUGUGAAGAAUGCCCUCGGGUUGUAAAGCACUUUCAGUGAGGAAGAACGCCUGGUGGUUAAUACCCAUCAGGAAAGACAUCACUCACAGAAGAAGCACCGGCUAACUCCGUGCCAGCAGCCGCGGUAAUACGGAGGGUGCGAGCGUUAAUCGGAAUUACUGGGCGUAAAGCGCGCGUAGGUGGCUUGAUAAGCCGGUUGUGAAAGCCCCGGGCUCAACCUGGGAACGGCAUCCGGAACUGUCAAGCUAGAGUGCAGGAGAGGAAGGUAGAAUUCCCGGUGUAGCGGUGAAAUGCGUAGAGAUCGGGAGGAAUACCAGUGGCGAAGGCGGCCUUCUGGACUGACACUGACACUGAGGUGCGAAAGCGUGGGUAGCAAACAGGAUUAGAUACCCCGGUAGUC
rnacentral:rRNA from 1 species